UGCCGGGUCGUCUAAUGGCAGGACGCGGGACUUUGGAUCCCGUAGUGGUGGUUCGAAUCCACCCCCGGCAGCCA
rnacentral:tRNA from 2 species